CUCUGUUUACUUGGAAGCUCUUGAGGCUGAUGUAUUGAUGCUAGCCACAAACUAAUGGAAUUCUUUCCAGCUGCAGUGCUCUCAGAUAGUCAAACAAUAAGCCAAAAGCAUUAAACUGCUUUGGCUGUUCUUUCCUAAAAUACGUGCCAUUCUCAGAGAUGAUGCAAACAUAAUUACUACUUAGCAUUUAAAAUAUUUCAAAGAAAUAGAUAAAACUGCUAUGGAAAACAGUGGAUCAAUAAAAAGUUUUUUGAAGUCUGAAUCCAGGGGGCAUGUCAUCUCAGAAGAGGGAGCUUUCUAGGAGGAAAAACACAGAUGAUGCAUCCAGAAAAACUAAAAACAGAUACUCAAACAUUCUUGUAUAUGAAUGAAGAUCCUGUUUUGAAUGGACACCUUUGAAGCCUCUAGAUAAUUCACCUUAAAAAGCCAAUUUUACACAGCUGCUUUCUUCUGGAAAUCAUGCCUCAUUUGAAGCCUUUGCAUAACAGAUAGAAGAUAGAGGUUCUCAUUCAGUGAGUUUUGAAUCUGCAGGAGUGCAGGAUUCAUAGGAAAAG